AGGAAAAAUUACAUGUUUACCACUUUCAUGCUACCACUUUUCUUUCUUACCACCACUAAUGGUACAUUUUCAAAAAUACUUUCUUCAUAGAGUGGCAAAAGAUUUUUAUGCACUUGUUCUUUGUAUAUAAAGUAAAUAAAUAUUUAAAUAAAUAAAAUUUUUAAAAAAUAAAAAUAGUUUCUUUAAUUUUUUUUCGAAUUAUACUAUUUCGAAAUUCAGACCGUAAACCCAAAAACUCAGCUCUAAACCCUAAACCAUAAAUCAUAAACCUUAUUUUUUGUUUGAAAUACAAACACUAAACCCUAAACAAUCAAUCCUAAACUUUUUUUUUUUUGAAAUACGAACUCUAAACCCUAAAACAUCAACUCUAAGCCCUAAAUCCCGAAACAACAACUUUAAACCCUAAACCCUAAAUUUUCGACUCUAACCCUAAAACAUCAACUCUAAACCCUAAACCCUAAACUUCAACUCUAAACCCUAAACCAUCAACACUAAACCCUAAACUAUCAACACUAAACCCUAAACCCUAAAAAGUAAACAC
rnacentral:lncRNA from 1 species